rnacentral:rRNA from 1 species
UACGAAGGGUGCAAGCGUUACUCGGAAUUACUGGGCGUAAAGCGUGCGUAGGUGGUUUGUUAAGUCUGUUGUGAAAGCCCCGGGCUCAACCUGGGAAUGGCAAUGGAUACUGGCAAGCUAGAGUGCGGUAGAGGGUAGUGGAAUUCCCGGUGUAGCGGUGAAAUGCGUAGAGAUCGGGAGGAACACCAGUGGCGGAAGGCGGCUACCUGGACCAGCACUGACACUG